rnacentral:rRNA from 1 species
AUGUACAAGUUGUACAAGAGCGAGCUGGACGCGAUCACGCCUGAGCAGGUGGAAUGGGAGCCGUUGGAUAGGAAAAAGCAGCGGAAGAUCAAGGAUUGGGCCAACCAUCACAGGAAGUAUGUCGUGCAGUUCGCUCUUAGUGUGGAGCAAGCAAGGGCUGGAAAACGAGCCCAGCUUCGUGAGCACUGCCCGAUCGCGUUCAACAACUAUCUCGCAUGGUUUCUUGCAAGUACCCGCGUGGAUGUAUGCCAGCCGGCGUAUGCUGAGGAGAUUCUGGAAGAACCCACCGUUUUUGAUGAGAUCAAGAAAGCAGCUGAUGAGACCGAGACUAUUCUGGAAACAACCCCGGCUGGCAAAAGUGAUGGGGAAGGUGCACUUCGAGCAUUCAUUAAGCGCCAGGGCCAAAAGUUAAGGUGGCUAUCAAACCUUUUCGGUUGUCGUGACCCCGAGUAUGUAUCACCAGAACGGUCUAGGUCAGGGACACCAUCAGAUCCAGCUUCGGGGCAGAGCCAUGGUGAACCUUUCGAGGAUGAGGAUGUGGGUGUGGUCACCCAAGAGGUUGCUGAUGAUAUGACCUUGGGGACGUACCAGGCUCGGUCUGCAUACGAGUUGAAGCCUAGGAAGGGAAUCAACAAGUACACACCUGAAGACUUCACCCAAAGAGGCCAAAGAGGCAAAAGGACGGUCGGCACCUCGCGGAUGGCGGCUUUGGAUGACUAUUUGGAUGACGAUGUCGAACCGGAGCCGGAGCCGGAGCCGGAGCGGGUUCCUCUUCCUAGGAAGGUGAAGAAGAUAAGCGUCAAGAGGGGGGGGGGAGCCAGCAAGCGUGGAAAGCACUAG